rnacentral:lncRNA from 1 species
AAUAGCACCAGGCCUUUGUGAUGAUGUAUAAGAAUACAUGCCUAUCUGUUAUUUAAGAAGGAACAAUUCUAUAGCUUUCACUAAGUAGCACUGAGUCUACUUAUCUAGCCUUAAAAAUAUAUCAUAAACUCGGAGACCUGAUGCCUUAAGAAACCAUUGACUUUGUUAUUAAUAGGACACAAUGUUUCCCUGUUUUUAACAUUUAUUUGUUUAUUUGUGUACCUGUUUGUAUAUAAUAUUUGUGUGAGUGGUAUGGAACACAUGUGCUAUGACACACAUUAGCGGUCAGAGAACACAUGUAGGAGUGGAUUCUCUCAUUUUGAUCUUUGAUUCCAACAACUGAACAAUCUUAUAUUAGUGUGAUUAUUAAUGUGAUGAUAAUAUUAAUACUAAUAAUAGCUGUUCAUCAGGCAUUAAACUUUUUCUACUCUACACACUGUUCUCAUUGUUUUCAAUCCUGUUUAUUAUUCCAACAUCUGCAUGAUACAAGCAGAAUAAUUCUAUUCUACAGAGGAGAAAGCUGCAGCUCAGAAGCAUGAAACUCAGCAAUACAAGUAGCUCCUGUAAUAAGAAGCUGGCAUUCAGUCUCAGGACUAGUUUCAUGACUAUUUUUUUUUAAAGAGUUGGUACGGCUUUUGAAGCCACCAUUGUCUAGCGCAAGAUUAUAGGUUAUUGUUUUUUCUUUGACAUAUUGACUAAUGCUUCUCAGUGAUGUUAUUUUUUCUUCCUUUGGUUUGUCUUUGAAGAGGAAAUGCUCAAAAACAGAAAGGGCAGCGAUCGCACAACCUAUGUUAAUCAGAUUAAUAUUCAAAGUUCCAAGCUGUACUUGUAUACACAUUUAGUCAUGCAAUUAAUAAAUUAAUACUUUACUGAUUUUCUUCUCUGUGCUAGGCACUGAUAAAAUAAUGAUAGAAAUGCUAACGUGAUCUAGCUCGGGAAAGAAACUUUCUGUACCCCAAUCAAACUGAUCAAUCUUUAAAAACAAAUACUUUUUCUUAUCAGCACCAUGAUUCAUCUUAAAACAGAGGGUCUGCUGAAGUUUGUUUGAACAUUGUUACAAUAGCUUUGAACAUUAUGAUAGCCAGUUUUCAAAGUAGUCUGCCAGCUAGUGUUUAACUUUACCCAGAGGGUCUAAUAUCAUACAAAUAAUAAACUAAUUUUAAAAGAAAACAGUGUUCACCUUUAAAAAUGUAUUUAAAUACUGAGUAAAUUAAUAAAAAAUGUAUGAAUGUCAUCUCAUUUUACUGUAUUCUUGAAAGAAAGUGAGUGCCUGAACCAAAUAUUUAGCAGUGGGAAUUAUAAAAUCAUAAGACGAUUAAGUUAGCUAGUCUUAGAAUUCCAAUAUUGCUUUUUAAAUGACUUCAGGAUAUAGGAGGUACUAAGGUUAUUAUCUGUUAUCUGGAAUACAGUGGAAUUGUACAACUGGAUAAUAACCAAACAAACUGACACAAUGUAAAAUUACAUUAUCAGUGUGUUAAAACAAAAUUGCGCCCUAAAGGAGUCCACAUGCCAGCUCAGAGCUGCAGUGUAAUUAUGCUUAACUCUGAUAAUUAAAAUACAACGGAGAUCAACAGAAUCAUUUUCAUUAAGAAAAUUAUUAAUGAUGGUGGUAUAGCAGUAAUUGAUUGCAGAGCACCACAGGAUAACGUGACGCUGGAAACCCAACUUGUUUCAUGAUCGUCUGAGGCUUUUUGUGGUUAUGUUCUGUUAAAAUGGGAAAUACAUUUUGAGGCAUGAGCAGUUUAUUAUGCCUGCUCUGAGAAUCAGUGAUUGGGAAAAUGGCUGAUUUAGAAAAUCACAGUUUUGAUUCAAAGGGUCAUUGUGGAGAGGUUUGCAAGGUCAAGACAAGCGGCCCCACCAAUGAUGGAGUUAUUGUUAACAGAGUUUUCUAUUGCAAAUAGCAGAAUGGCCGCGUGUUCAGCAAAUAUUGGACUCUCUGCUGUUUCCAUUUCUUUCUGUGCAUUGCCAGGUUUUACAAUUGUGCUAAUGGCUUACUAGUAUUGUGUUGACCCAAGUCUGCUUACACAUUUACAGUUAUUAAUGUAUGUCAUGUAUGCAAAUCUAUACUUGUUUUCAUACAGAUGUCAUGGUGGGUUUACUAGUAAAUAAGCCUGUAAUAUAUCAUUGUUACCUUAAUGAGGGAGAUGUGCUAACAUGUGGUAGAAAAAAAUAUUUUAAACCCACUUGGAUCCAUAUAUGAGUGAAGCUUGUGUCUCUUGAGGGAUAGAAACUAAGUUAGACUGUUGGCAAAUGAUAAGAACUGGGGAUAUAUCAGUGUUAUGUGUAUAAAAAUGAGAAAUGAAAAGCAGGGUCUUUGGAGAGGUGAAUCACUAUCAUGUGAGGAUGUUAGCUUGUCAGUCAAACAGAUGAUAAUCUUGAAAGCUACCCCCAGAAGUAUCUUUGUCAGCUAAACUGAGGGACAACUCCUAAGAGUAAAAUUUUUUAGAAUAAGACAUCCUAAAUAGCUUUUUAAACAUCAUACAGAAUAGAUGAAGUUGUUGCCUUAUAAUGCUAGUUGAGAAAAGCAGAAAAUAUGCUUUUGUAUCCACUAUAAUUAGAGUAACAUUUAAAAGCAUAUGCACAAGAAACAGAGGGAAAUAAAAUUGCAUGAAAUUGCAAAAGUAUUUCUGUAAGGAGAAAUUUGUGGCCAUUAUUUGUCUCUACUUAUGUUACUUAUUUGAGAGAGAAGCUAAACUCCAAGAGGCACUAGCAAAGUACUUGUGCAAACCACUGGACUUUGAGGCUUGUAUCCUCUCUUAUAAAUAAACUUCUUAGAGUUUUUUUCCUCAUAGAGUUUAAGAAAAGUACUUACAUAUUCAAAUCCUAUGUCUUAAUCUGUUCUCAGACUCAUUCAUUCAUUCACUCAUUCACUCAUUCAUUGCAUUCCACUGCUGGAGAUGAAACCCUUGUCUCCACGUCUACACAUGGGCUGGGAACCUGUUGCACCAUUGCAUGAUUUCAGCCCUUCUUUUAUGAUUCAAACCCUAGAAUAAGAAAUGUUUAAUUCACAAAAUCCUUAUUCCACAAAAAUUGAUGUUUUUGCCCCUGCUUAUAUAAUUAAACUUUCUUAAUACACAUAUGAAUGCCUUAAAAGUAUUUUUCCUUAAGAUAGUUUCCUAAAAAAAUAUAAGUAAUCAAACACAUGCAUAUUCUCCAAAUUAUGGUAUUGGAAUGAGGAUACAAAUUAAUCUAAAACAAGCUUUGGUUUAACAAAGUCACUGAAACCUUUAUUAAUCAAGUAUACUUAAACAUUUAAAUAAUGACUUCAGUCAGUAGCUCAUAAGCAAGCCGAGACUCAUGAAGGGUGUGAAAGUUGGUUUUGUUUUAGUUUGUUUAAAACUAAGCCAUCAGUUCUAGGAAUGGGUGAGGGCAUUUAAAGGGUUUGAAUCUGUGAGCCUAGUGGCUCAUAGCGUGGGAUGCUCACAGAGGACAGUUUUGUAAGGCUAGGCAACUUGCAAAUGAGAACCGUGAUGGGCGAAUUAGUUUCCCACCAUUCACUUGACUGAUGCCGAGUCUUUGAUUAUCACGUCAUGGUAGAGCUGAUCAUCCAGCAACAUCCGUAAUCCAAAUGAGAGUUUGUCAGAUAACUGUGUCAAAAACAAACUUGUAUCCACAUUCAUUUGAAAACUAUAUCCCAAUGGGAAAAUGGUGUUGUAGCCACACACUUCUAGCAGGUAAUAAACCAGCCUCCUUCCUCUACUUGUUACCUGAAUUCGUUUUCCUUAUUCGUAGGUCAACUGGCUUGUGUCACAUGGAUCCAUCAUUCUAAACACUCCAUCCACCUCUUACGCUUCUCUUUUCAUGGCCUUUAUCAGCUUGACAAUACUGCUGGCCAUUUGCUGUUCUCCCCAACUUACUCCUGGUUGGACCCAGCAGACAGAUGGUUACUAUUUGUGAAAUGCUCGGAAUAGCACCGUCUUAGUUCCUUCUCUCAUUCCUGUGACC